rnacentral:rRNA from 1 species
UACGGGAGGCAGCAGUGGGGAAUAUUGCACAAUGGGCGCAAGCCUGAUACAGCCAUGCCGCGUGUAUGAAGAAGGCCUUCGGGUUGUAAAGUACUUUCAGUCGUGAGGAAGGUGUUAAGGUUAAUAACCUUAGCAAUUGACGUUAGCGACAGAAGAAGCACCGGCUAACUCCGUGCCAGCAGCCGCGGUAAUACGGAGGGUGCGAGCGUUAAUCGGAAUUACUGGGCGUAAAGGGCACGCAGGCGGUUAAUUAAGUUGGAUGUGAAAUCCCCGGGCUUAACCUGGGAAUGGCAUUCAAGACUGGUUAGCUAGAGUCUUGUAGAGGGGGGUAGAAUUCCAUGUGUAGCGGUGAAAUGCGUAGAGAUGUGGAGGAAUACCGGUGGCGAAGGCGGCCCCUGGACAAAGACUGACGCUCAUGUGCGAAAGCGUGGGGAGCAAACAGGGAUUAGAUACC